UUAGUUAAUUAAUUUUUUUAUUAAAAAAUGUCAUUUAAUGCGUAGAAGGGGAUUGAUGAAAUUAAAUUCCUAUAUUAUAGGCAAUUAGUUGCUAAGCUAUCUUAUGCCUCUAUAUAAAUGCAUUUAAAUUAAUGACAUAGAAAUUAAAUAAAUAGAAAGUUAUUGAGGUGGCAAUUGAUCAAAGCACCUUAAUCAAAUAUUUAAAAGGGAUGAAUGUUUAAUCUAAUAACUAUAGAAAAUAUGUAGGAAAUUCUAAUUUUCUCAAAUUUUAUUACACAAAUUUAGUGCAUGAAAUUUGUGUCUUUCGCAUUAUUCAUUAAAAUAAAUUUUAUUAAGGGGUGUACUAUCUACACACUCUUUUUUACUUCUCAUACAUCCCUUGUUAAUUUCUAUCAUUUGAUAUUCUUUGAUUCAGUCAAUCUGAUGGCCGCAAAUUAAGAGG
rnacentral:lncRNA from 1 species